rnacentral:rRNA from 1 species
UACAGAGACUGCAAGCGUUAUUCGGAUUCACUGGGCGUAAAGGGUGCGCAGGCGGCCAAGUGUGUGAGGCGUGAAAGCCCGAAGCUUAACUUCGGAAUUGCACCUCAAACUACAUGGCUAGAGCAUUGGAGAGGGUAGCGGAAUUCACGGUGUAGCAGUGAAAUGCGUAGAUAUCAGGAGGAACACCUGCGGUGUAGACGGCUUACUGGACCAUAACUGACGCUGAGGCACGAAAGCGUGGGUAGCAAACAGG